UGGGGAAUAUUGCACAAUGGGCGAAAGCCUGAUGCAGCAACGCCGCGUGAGUGAUGAAGGCCUUCGGGUUGUAAAGCUCUGUCUUUUGGGACGAUAAUGACGGUACCAAAGGAGGAAGCCACGGCUAACUACGUGCCAGCAGCCGCGGUAAUACGUAGGUGGCAAGCGUUGUCCGGAUUUACUGGGCGUAAAGGAUGCGUAGGCGGAUUUUUAAGUGAGAUGUGAAAUACCCGGGCUUAACUUGGGUGCUGCAUUUCAAACUGGGAAUCUAGAGUGCGGGAGAGGAGAAUGGAAUUCCUAGUGUAGCGGUGAAAGUGACGUAGAGAUUAGGAAGAACACCAGUGGCGAAGGCGAUUCUCUGGACCGUAACUGACGCUGAGGCAUGAAAGCGUGGGUAGCAAACAGGAUUAGAUACCCUGGUAGUCCACGCCGUAAACGAUGAGUACUAGGUGUAGGAGGUAUCGACCCCUUCUGUGCCGCAGUUAACACAAUAAGUACUCCGCCUGGGAAGU
rnacentral:rRNA from 1 species